rnacentral:tRNA from 1 species
AGGGGUAUAACUCAGUGGUAGAGUGCUUGCAGGGCAGGCAUUCAGCCCUAGGUUCAANUCCCAGUACCAAUA